GGAUUAGAUACCCUGGUAGUCCACGCCCUAAACGAUGCACACUAGAUCGAGGUGUCUCUGACGGCAUCUCUGUCGAAGAGAAAUUGUUAAGUGUGCCGCCUGGGGAGUACGGUCGCAAGGCUAAAACUCAAAGGAAUUGACGGGGGCCCGCACAAGCGGUGGAGUAUGUGGUUUAAUUCGACGCAACGCGCAGAACCUUACCCGGUCUUGACAUCGAGGGAAAGCCCGUAGAAAUACGGGCCUCCACCUUCGGGUGGCCCAAAGACAGGUGCUGCAUGGCUGUCGUCAGCUCGUGCUG
rnacentral:rRNA from 1 species